rnacentral:lncRNA from 1 species
CACAACAGGCUGAGCAGCUUUCUGCAUUCUCGCCACUAAUUAUCCAGACUCCGGAGACUGAGCUUUCAAGGUACUUGCGGAAUCUCUAUAGGCCCAAGGUUGACAUGACCAUAUCCGUGAAAAGCUCAGGACAAAGAAAGGAAAAACUGGUGAAUGUGACAGAGGCACCCAGCAAUGUUCUGAGGGACAGAUUUCAC